rnacentral:lncRNA from 1 species
UCAAAGCAAACACACAGAAAUCCCAACUAAAAAUCAAUCAGUGAGACAAUGGCUGGAACCAAUGAUAUUAAAAUUAAAGGGUUUGAUUUGAGCAACAACAAAGGCAACACGUCGGGAUUAACCCACUUCGCCAACAGAGCUGCCGAGGGCGACAAGGGCGACAAUAAAAUCGAGGUUGAGGAUGCUAAAGGGCAAGGGAACACGGGAAACUUGAAAGUACUGACCGACUUCGCCCAACGCGGUAAAGUGGGCCAGUCGGAUCGCCAAGAACUACUCAAACCUCAGGCAUGAAAUUGAAGAAGGCCAGACCACAACAACUUGUCUGCUUGAUAGAUAUAUGUGCUAAAUUAUCUACACAAAAAUAAGAGCUGAUGUUUUAUCUGAGGCUCCUUCCUUGGUUAGGCCUCGUUAUCAUGUGUAAUAUUAAUAUUAUUAUUCUAAUAAAAUAAUGGUAGCUUAUUAUUAAAUAUAUCAGAAUUCUAUACGUAUAACUUUUAGAUUAUUGAUACUGAUGUCAACAAGAGAAAAUGAUUAAAAAUUCCUUUCUCCAAUUCGUGAUGUUAGACAAGAAGCAAACAAAUUUAGGAUAAUGGAUUUUAAAAGUUUGGUGACAAAUGAUGGUAAAGAAGAAUUUAGCCACUACUACAAAAAGUGAAAAAGACGACCAGAAAACAACGACGGUCUAAGUGAAAACCGUCGUGGUUUAUAAAAAGACGACGGUUCUAAAAACACCGUCGUGUAAUACAACCUUAGACAACUAAAAAAUGGAGUUUCAAAUGGCUGUUCAAAAACAACGACGUACAUAAUUAAACAACCGACGUCUAUUUGAAACAGAUUUCCUCAGUGUAAAAUCAAUGCCAACAAAGAACGGCAGAAGUUAUGAAUCGACCGACGUAGAAAGUAAAGACGACGAUUUCAAUAAAAACUGCCGUUUUUACUCAUAAAAUAACACGACGAGGUUUUCGUAUAAGACGCCGUAUAAUUACAAACAAAUCCACGGCUUUAAAAUACAAAAUAUCGCCGUAUUAAAUUAAUUUACAACGACGGAAAAUAUAAAUAUAUCGACGUCAUUCUCGUAUAGUUCUACUACGUUAUCUUUAAAUCGUACAAUAAAAUUUAUCGUCGUAUUUAUUCAUUUUAUACGUCGUACCUUUAAUUUUAACGGUCGUCUUAAUAAGAAUUUUUGUUAACAAUUUUUUUCUUUGAUUUUCUUAUCCUACGUCGGUAGAUCUACUUAAUGACAAGAAUUGAAAUAACCACGACGGUUUAUAUAGAACACCGCCGACAUAAUCAGUUUUGUCUGAGAUCCCAAGGGUUACGAAAUCUUACCAGAUGGAACUCUGUUCCACAUCAUAAUCUUAACAGAUGACACAGAUUUGCAAAUAUUGCGUCGUGUUAGUUUACAAAUUCUAGAACAUUAAUUUCCCUCAUUUUAAAUUUCCUCGGGAAAGAAAAAUCUAUUUAUCACGCUUUGGAAUUGAAAACUAAAACUGAAAGAAUACGGGAAAAAAAACUCCAUUUAUAAUUUAAAAUUAAAAUCCACGUCGGUUGUAGUACACUUAACGACGUUUAACAAAAUAAUCUACGUCGGUAAUUAUAAAUCUACCGCCAUCGUAACUUAAUAUAGACGACGAGAAAAGACGACGGUAGAACAGAAAACCGCCGUUGUUUCAGUUUCUUUAACAUAUCUUUCUGCAGGACUUGUGUAGUUCAAAGCAUUGACAAUGUCUUCAUCAUAUCUCCCAGAAACUACUGAUUCAAUUGCUCAUGCUUUAGAGGCCAUCUGAAGCCAUUUCUAUUCUUUAUCGCAUUCUUGAAACCCAUCUUCUUCUUCUGAAGCUCUACGGAUAAAGGAAGAGGCUAUCACAAUAAAUCCGACGGAUCUUCUUAGGCAAGAAAAUCAAGCAGAGGAUCAGGCACAUCUGAUCUUCAGAUUUCCCUGAGAAGCGAACUUUCCUUCGACAGCGAGUGGAGGCCAGGCUUGCAUCUCUUUUGAUGGAAAGCAAGGAGUAUUCAGAAGCACUAAGUGUCCUAUCAGGCUUGAUCAAGGAAGUGAGAAGGCUAGUUGACAAGCUUCUUCUUGUGGACAUAUAUUUGAUGCGAGUAAGCUCAAUUUCUCUUUGAGAAAACAUCCAAAUUAUUAUCUUUGAGACAUGAGAGACUGAGAGAGGAAGAACUUGGAACCUUAAAUGUAAACCGAAAAUGAAUGAAAGCGACAAAUUUAUAGAAUAAAUUUUUAAAACCAACGGCGGUCCUUACAAACAAACCGCCGUUUAAAUUGUAAAAUCAACGUCGGUAUGAUCGACGUAUAUUACAGAAAUCCACGUCGGUAAAUUAAUAAAAACGACGUGUUAAAUAAUAUACCAUGACGCGAGUUAUUACUUAUGUACUUUAAUUUUUGAGUUUACUACGACGGUACCUACAAACUACUGUCGUAUUUAUUUACCACGUCCGAAGUUAAAUGUACCGUCGUAUUUUGUAAUUUAUACGUCGUAGUUAUAUGUAACCGCCAUAUUAUUUUUUUGAAAUGGUUUUAUAUGUAAGCAACUUUUCGUCUACUUGACUUACACAUUUGUUGUUUUUAUAUUCUUAUUUUAUUUAAAUCUGUCAUCCAAAAAAGAAACUUUACAUAUUGCAGAAUAUUAAUUUCCUUCGUUUUAAAUUUCCUCCGGAAAAAAAACUCUAUUUAUAACGCACUGUAAUUGAAAAAUAAACUGAAAGGUCACGGGAAAAAAAAUUCUAUUCAUAAUUUAAAAAUUAAAAUCCACGUCGGUUAUAUUAAACCUAACGACGUUAAAUGAAAUGAUUCCACGUCGAAUGAAAAAUAUUGCGUCGUUUUAGUUAAAAACGACGUAGUUAAAUGUAACCGCCGUAUUAUUUUUUUGAAAUGGUUUUAUAUGUAAGCAACUUUUCGACUUACACAUGCACUGUUUCCAAACCCGAUUAAAAAUUUCAAUCUCCCAGAGAAACCUUUUCGUCUUUUUUCCUUGUCAGAGCAUUGUCAGAGUUUUUCAUCGUCUUCCUCUCGUCUUCUUCGUCGUCUCUGAACUUAAACAUCGAUCAUCUUCCUCUUGCUUUCAUUGCACGCAAAAGGUAAGCUUUCAUUUUCACUAUUUUGGUUACUGUUUUGCAUGCUCAUACGUUUUUUGUUUGAAAAAUCUUUUUACCUUUUUUCUGGCCAAAAUCAUUUUACUUCUUUCCAAGUUUGAUAAAAUAUACAGACAAAGAGAGAAAGUUUCCAACUUUGAAGACAACUACAUCAACUAAAUAAGACGACGGUAGACCACGACGGUUCGUCAGUUGUUCUAGCGUCGUCUGAAAAUUGACAAAGUUGUUUUUAAAAUAAUAGUCUUUUUUUAUAUGCUUGUUUAAUUGCAGGUUUGAUUUCGCUGAACAAUGGUUUUUGUUUUUCCCUUAUUUGAUAAAAUAUAAAGAAAAAGAAACUAGGGUUGGUAUCUAAUAUAGACGAUAAAAUAUAAAUAAUAGUUUACCACGACGGUGUAUUACUAUUGACGUCGUGUGAACAUAUAUACCACGACGUUAUAUAAAUAAUGGUUUUAAACAUUUAUUACGUCUGAGAUUAUUUCAUUGCGUCGUCUAAAAUCAUAUCAUACGUCGUAUUUUUUUAAUACCGUCGUUUGUGUUCUUAAUGUUUUCCUGAAAUAUUUUCACUUGCAGUUUUGUCUGUUAAAAUGGUUUCUCAACAACAAACUAAGGAUUCUGGCUCCAAGAAGCUUGGAAUGGUAGCUCCUCAAGAUAAGUCUUCGAAGGAGAUGAAGUCUUCGAAGAAGAUGAAGUUUGCUUCAUCAUCUGCUGAGACAGAACAAACCAGCCAGACAACAAUCUCAGAUGAUUCAAAGACUGGUCGAGGUAUGAGCACAAUGCCUCGUGUUGUGAAGAGAAAGCUUCAGAAACUGAGGCCAAUUGUUGAGUACAAUAAAAGGGGGAAAGGUGUUGGCCAAGCACAUAUUGAGAUGCAGUCGUAUAUUGGUGUGUUGGCACGCUCCAGGAUCCCACUUGUGGACAAGAAAUGGUCCCAAAUCCCCAAGGAUAUAAAGGAGCAGAUUUGGGAAGCAGUUGACAUGGCUUUUGUCGUAGGCCAAGGGGGCAAGACCUCUGUUUUAGCUUCUGCUUCCAAGAAAUGGAAGGAUUUCAAGUCUACACUAACGAGGCAUUAUAUCCUUCCAUACACCAAUGACAGGGAGAAAUUAAGCCAACCCCCUGAAACAUAUAAAUUCAUAGAGAAAGCACAAUGGGAUGCCUUUGUAGCUUCAAGGCUAUCCAAAGAUUUUGAGUCUGUGCAUUCUCAACAUGCACAGAUUAGGGAGAAACUCGAGUACAAUCAUCGAUUGUCUCGAAAAGGAUAUGCUGGAUUGGAGGAUCAAUUGGAGGAAACCAUGCCUGGGGUAGAAAUUGAUCGAUCUACCUUAUGGAAGAGAGCUAGACAGGACAAACAUGGUAACAUCCCUGAUCCAAAGGUGGCAGAGAAAGCAAAAUUAAUUGUAAGCCUACUAUCACUCUGUUUUAAAUUUUUAUUAAACUGUGAAUUAUUCUUAUUACGUCGUAUGUUAUAUUUUUCGUCGUGUGAAUGAUAUUACCACGUCGAAAAGUUUUUAAAAACGUCGUUAAAGGUCUAAAUAGGAAUCACUACUAUGUUUUCUGUAAUUACAGCAUAAGACGUCGGUGGUUCAUUUUCGCGUCGUGUGAAUGAUAUUACCACGUCGAAAAUUUUUUAAAAACGUCGUUAACGGUCUAAAUAGGAAUCACUACUCUGUUAUCUUUAAUUAUAGCAUAAGACGUCGGUUGUUUAUUCAUUUCGUCGUUUUAAAUAAAUAACCACGUCGGUAUAACUACCGUCGUGAUAAGUUAUAAUAACGUCGGUUUAUACGUUAUUGCGUCGUGUGAAAUUAUAUAAUACGUCGUUUGUACAUAAAUAACCGUCGUGUGUUUUUUUGUUUAUCUUUUUUUAGGAUGAAUUGCAGAAACAAGUCUCGGAAGGCAAAGUCAGAGUAGAUGGCAGCAAUGAUGUGCUGACCAUGGCUUUGGGCCCCGAGCAUCCAGGCAGACUGAGGGGAGUUGGUGCUGGUGUUUCCCCAAGGCAAUAUUUCAAUUUGCCCAAACCACAGAGGGUGAGCUUUGACGACCGUUUGAAGGACAGUUUAAGAGUUCUCCUUCAAGAAGAGACUAAAAAGAUGGAGGCUAAGGCAAGGGAAGAGGCCUUAAGGAUGGAGGCUAGGACAAAACAAUUGGUAGAGGCUGAGAGGGAGCAUUUCCUGAGUCAGCUUUCCCAAUUAAUUCCCAAUUUUGAUCCAAGCAUGCUUAAACCAAGAAUUAGCCAAAGCCCCAAAAAUCCAAUGUCUGACAAAGCUAGCUGCUCUGGAGGUGAUGUGAGAUCCCUACAUUUGGAGGAUGAUACUGCCAAAAUGGGGAAACAUCAGCCAGAUGAAGAGAAGGAAGAAGAAAAAAGAGAUGAAGAGAAGGAAGAAGAAAAGGAGAAAGAAGAUGAAGAAAAGCAUGACGACAAGGUAUGUUCACAUAACUUUGCCUUUUUUAUUUGUUUUUCAAAAUUUCAGACGUCGAUAUUUUUAUUUAAUCCGUCGUUUGUUUAAAACUUAGACGGCGGAAUUUUUUUAAGACGUAAUAAAAUAUUUAAACGACGGUUUUUGCACCGUCGUUUAAAUGGUUUCAGACGACGCUUUAUUCAUAAAACCGUCGUCUUUAUUGAAUUACCACGACAGUUUUUUCACCGUCGUUUAAAUACUUUUAAGACGACGUUUUAUUACUUAAACCGUCGUCUUUAUUGAAUUACCACGUCAUUUUUUUUAUUUCUUUAAACAGGUUAUUGAAGUUGGUGCUUAUUCAAAAAUGGAGGCGCCAUCUUCUUUAAAAACCCUUUGUCGUUUUGUGGAAACGACACUCCUGCCUGAGGAUAAGACACUCCAAUUUACAAUUGAUAAGGAGGUGUUUGGUGGUGAGCGCGAUACCUUCCUCCUGCCUGAAGAUAUUACACAAUUUGCAGGCAUGGAAGAAAUUGGAGCUACUGUAUUGGCUGUAUAUAUGAGGUUUGUACUUCUAAAAUAAUACCUCGUUGGUUUAUAUAUUGCGUCGUCUUAACUAACUAACCACGUCGUCUUAACUAACUACCGUCGUGAUAAAUAUAUUAUAACGUCCUCAUCUAUUUCAGUACGUCGUGUGAAAUAUUAUAAUACGUCGUUUUUUUAUACAUAACCGUCGUGUUUGUUUGUGCUGACUUGUUUAUAUUAUUUUAUGUAUUUAGGUACUUACACGAUGUUUUGAAACAAGCCAAUAUGUGCAGCAUGGUUGGCUUUAUUGACCCUGCUACAGUUAGUGCCAACUCUGGCACAAUAACUGAAAGAUCACGACUGGUAGCAGCUCGACUUCAGAAGACAGACGGUGAACAGCUUUUCAUGAUGCCUUACAAUCCAGGGUUAGUCUCCUUAGGAUUUUGUUUUUAUGAUUUUCAAUAAAUGACAGCUUAUAAACUAACCACGUCGGUGUUUUAUUUUAUUUAGUCGUUUGAAACUACUAACCACGUCGGUAUUUAUUUGUCGUCGUGAUAAAUAUAUAAUGUUGUCGUUAUCUACUUUAUUUCGUCGUGUGAAAUACUAUAAUACGUCGUUUUUGUAAAUAACCGUCGUUUUUAUAUUAAUUUUGUGCAGCCGUCAUUGGAUCCUGCUGAUUGUAAGAGCAAAGAAGGAGACCGUCUAUUUUCUGGAUCCUCUGCCAGGUCAUCGUGUGGUCGACGAAGAGGCGAAAAACAUCGUGAACAGUGCUUUAAAAAUAUAUAAUACCCACAUAGGCCGAGCAGGACGUAAAAAUGUAAUUUGAAAAACUCUCUCAGGCACACCAAAGCAACCCAGCAAUGUCGAAUGCGGGUAUUAUGUGAUGCGCUUCAUGAGGGACAUCAUCAUGGAUCCUUCCUUGGGGUUUGAGAAUAAGGUAAGAAGAAAUUACCUUCAUACAUUUCACGUCGUUUUUUGUAUUAUCAACGACGGUCAUGUAAAAUUAACGUCGUUGAAUGGAUAUACUACGUCGGUUAUGAAAAAUAUCGUCGUCUGUGAUUGAAUUUCUUUUUAUUUAUAAACCCUAAUAGUCAUUGUUUAUGCAGUAUGCCAAGGGAAACCAGGAAGCUUCAUACCCCCAAGAAGCCAUUGAUGAAGUCCGGAAUGAAUGGGCAGAGUUUGUUUUCCAAAUUAUUAAACAGGGCAAUUAUUGAACACUUGAUAUUUAUGUAUAAUGUACCAAUUUUCUCUAUAAUAUGUAAUGUAAAAAUUUGUUGAGGUUUUCUUAAAUUAAAAAAAAAACAAACAUACAAAUUGCUUAACCGACGUGUAAUACUUUUCCAACGACCUAAUAAAGUCACAAACCGUCGUAUUUUGUUGUUUCGUGUUUUAAACAAUUACGACGUAAAAAAAUAGUUAGACGACGUUCUUUGAACAAUUGAGUCGUUAAUGGUUUACAAUAUCUUCAAUUUCUUAAGGGUUCAGGGUAUAAUCGACGACGUUUAUGUAACGACUGCGGUUAAGUCGUAAAAUAUAUAUUUUACGUCGUAUAGUUAAAUAGCCGCCAUGGUUUUUCAUUUUAACGACGUCAUUUUAACGACUUAGUAGUCUAUUACAAUUUACAACGUCUACAAUUUAUUAACACCGACGUGGUUUGUUGUUGUGGUAAGAAUAUUUUAUUAUUUUUAUAUCAAAAUAUUCAAAAUAAAUUUAAAAUAAAUCAGAAAAUUGAAAAGUCAACUCCUAUGAAGUCAUUGAUAUAUUUUCUUCCACAUAAACCUUGAAAAAAUUCAUUUUGAAUAACAAAAAUUUAAAAUGACCAUCCAAAACAAAAUUGUUUUGAUGACUCAUAAAAUCACUUCUAGUUUUAUGGUUUAGGGUUUAGAGUCUAGGGUUUAGAGAUUAGGGUUGUUAUUUAUUGGGGUUUAUUUUUAAAGUAUAAUUUUUGGGUAGUCUAGGGUAUAUGUUAGGCUUUAAAACCAUAAAACCUUUUAUAAACUUAAUUUUUUAAAUUGUAUAAUUUAAUUUUAUGGGUUUAGGGUAUUAAUUUUUAACGACGGUGGUUGGGUCGUGGAAUACAUAUUUUACGUCGUACAGUAAAACAUACGACAUGGUUUACGCUUUAAACGACGUCAUUUUAAUAUGUAAGUCGGUUUAUAUAAUUUACAACGUCAACGUCUUUAAUUUCUUAACACCGACGUGGUUUUUCAGUCGUCGUUAUAUAAAAAAUUCAAAAUAAAUUUAAAAUUAAUCCGAAAAAUGAACGGCCUUACGUUCUUAAUCCGAAAAAUGAAGUUUCCGUCGUGGAAUAUUAAAUUUACGUCGGUACUUGUAGAACUUUCGCCUUGGUUUUUCUUUCGACGUUUUAAAACGCGCGCGCUCUAAAAAUUUUCGCGCGACCUAAACUUUUUUAGAUUUGGCUCUUAUUCUUAUACUUCGAACCCUGAAACCUAAAANNNNNNNNNNNNNNNNNNNNNNNNNNNNNNNNNNNNNNNNNNNNNNNNNNNNNNNNNNNNNNNNNNNNNNNNNNNNNNNNNNNNNNNNNNNNNNNNNNNNNNNNNNNNNNNNNNNNNNNNNNNNNNNNNNNNNNNNNNNNNNNNNNNNNNNNNNNNNNNNNNNNNNNNNNNNNNNNNNNNNNNNNNNNNNNNNNNNNNNNNNNNNNNNNNNNNNNNNNNNNNNNNNNNNNNNNNNNNNNNNNNNNNNNNNNNNNNNNNNNNNNNNNNNNNNNNNNNNNNNNNNNNNNNNNNNNNNNNNNNNNNNNNNNNNNNNNNNNNNNNNNNNNNNNNNNNNNNNNNNNNNNNNNNNNNNNNNNNNNNNNNNNNNNNNNNNNNNNNNNNNNNNNNNNNNNNNNNNNNNNNNNNNNNNNNNNNNNNNNNNNNNNNNNNNNNNNNNNNNNNNNNNNNNNNNNNNNNNNNNNNNNNNNNNNNNNNNNNNNNNNNNNNNNNNNNNNNNNNNNNNNNNNNNNNNNNNNNNNNNNNNNNNNNNNNNNNNNNNNNNNNNNNNNNNNNNNNNNNNNNNNNNNNNNNNNNNNNNNNNNNNNNNNNNNNNNNNNNNNNNNCUGUUUUUGUUUAAAACCCGUCGUCUCAUGUUGUUUAUACCUUGCGAUUAGAUCAUGUAUAAUCUGCUAUAGUGAUGGUCAUGCCUGUAUUUUCACUUUUAUAUAGAUAAUAGGUUAUAGUGUCGGAGAUGGAUAAGUCAUGGAUGCACUCGGAUAGAAGAUCGAAGGCAUAUGAGUUUGGGGUGGAAGCAUUUUUGAACUUUGCUGUAGAAAAUCUUCUAACUACAACACAUAUCCGUUGUCCAUGUGUUAAAUGUGUUAAUUUGAAGUUGUUUGGGGUUGGAAUUAUAAGGGAUCACUUAUACUUUAAUGGAAUUGACCAAAGCUAUAAGAAUUGGACAUUUCACGGAGAACCUUGGGAAGCAACUACUAAUGCUAGCAGAAAUGUUGAAGAAGAUGAUGGCCAUAGUAGGUACAGUUUUGUGUCUGAAGAAAUUGAUAUGGAUGAUAAUGAUUUUGGUGAUUUUGGUUCGGAUCCGUAUGAGUUUGCCAAUGUGAUUGGGGAUGGAGAUCAACCAGUGUACCCUGGUUGUAGAAAGUACACGAAGUUAUCGGCAUUAGUGAAGUUGUAUAAUUUGAAGGCAAAACAUGGGAUGAGUGAUGUCUGUUUUACAGAAUUAUUGAUACUUCAAGGCGAUUUGCUUCCAGAAGGAAAUACAAUACCAACCUCCAUGUAUGAGGCUAAAAAGACUUUGUGUGCAUUGGGGCUGAGUUAUGAGAAAAUGCACGCAUGCCCCAAUGAUUGCAUCUUGUAUAGGAAGGAGUAUGAGGAUUCAACUAAUUGUCCUACUUGUGGUAUCUCAAGGUGGAAGGAAGGCAAAGAUGCAAUCUUGAAAGAGGGUGUGCCAGCGAAGGUGGUGUGGUAUUUUCCCCCAAUUCCAAGGUUUAAAAGGAUGUUUCAAUCACAUGAGACAGCUAAGAGUUUGACUUGGUGGCAUGUUGCUAGAAAAUCAAUUGACGGUCAGAUGUCUCAUCCGGCGGAUUCCCCGUCUUGGAAACUUCUUGAUGAUAAAUGGCCUGAGUUUGGUAAUGAGCCGAGAAACUUGAGAUUGGCUCUUUCAUCUGAUGGAUUCAAUCCCCACAGUUCUCUAAGUAGCAGAUAUAGUUGUUGGCCGGUUAUCUUAGUUACAUAUAAUCUCCCUCCAUGGCUGUGCAUGAAACGAAAGUUCAUGAUGUUAACCUUAUUGAUUUCCGAUCCUAAACAACCCGGAAAUGAUAUAGACGUCUACUUGGAGCCUUUGAUUGAUGAUUUAAAAUCCUUGUGGGUUGGGAUUAGAGGAGUGUAUGAUGCACAUAAUGGAGAAUACUUUACACUCAGAGCUGCAUUAAUGUGGACAAUUAAUGAUUUCCCCGCCUAUGGAAACUUAUCUGGUUGUGUUGUUAAAGGAUAUAAAGCUUGUCCAAUAUGCGGCGAUGAUACACCUAGUCAAACAAAUAUUUUUUGUUGACGACCCGAUGCAUCGUGGUUGGUCGUGUAGGCGUGUGAGUGUGUGUUUGUGUUUGUUUUUGUGUGUGUGUGUGUGUGUGUGUGUGGUGUGUGUGUGUGUGUGUGUACCAUUACUNNNNNNNNNNNNNNNNNNNNNNNNNNNNNNNNNNNNNNNNNNNNNNNNNNNNNNNNNNNNNNNNNNNNNNNNNNNNNNNNNNNNNNNNNNNNNNNNNNNNAUGUAAUUGGCAGUGUAUGACAUUAAUUUUGUAAUAUAUUGUAAUGUGAUUUCUUCACUUUCUACGUUCAAAUAAAACACGACGUUAUUGUGAAUCAGUUAUUCAGCAUAUUUACCGACGUCUUAAAGCAACGUAACAAUGAAGAACCACGACGCUAUUGUGAAGCAAUUAUUCAGGAUAUCACGUCGGUGAAGGAUAAAGAACCGCCAUGUAAUUCAAAAUAACACGACUCCAAUCCCAUAAUACCGACGUCUAAAAAACGAGAUAUGUAAUCUGAACGUUAAAAAAUACGACGUCAUCAUACAUUUUCCACGUCGCAAGUUCUUUUAUAAACGAAGAGGAACGAAAUUAAUUCCGACGGAAAUUCAUUAUAACCGCCGUCUAAUAACAAUUAAACGACGUUAUUUGUAAUACGGCUCCCAUCAUAAUCUACGCCGUCUAUAUGUUCUGUAAUACGGCUCUCAUUUAUUUGGAACCGACGUUGUUUAGACGUUCAACGUCGUCUAUAUUAUUAAGUGCGUCGUGAGUAAUGAAUACAUAUAAAUACAACGUCGACUAUAUAAAUGUAUACGUCGUAAAUAAUGACACUGACAACUAUUUCCACGUCAUCUUUUUUAGAUAAAAUCGAAGUGGAAAAUUUAUUUCACGACGGUUUUUUGUAAAUAAGAGACGUUGUAGAACUUUAGCAGACUAAACACGUCUGUUUUUAUUGUUUUCCGACGUUGUUGUAUUUAACAACGUCUAAUAUUUAUGGUCGUUGUUUGUUUCUGAAAAUAGGACGUAUAAAUUUUUUAAUACGACUCUCAUAUAUUUGUAACUGACGUUGUUUAGUUUUUCAACGUCUACUAUAGAAACACAUACGUCGUAAAUAAUGACACUGACAACUAUUUCCACGUCAUCUUUUAUCAAAAAAUCGAAGUGGAAAAUUAAUUGUACGACGGUUGUGUUUAUAUGUGCGACGUAGUAGGUAUCAAUAACAUCGUCUUCUAAUGUAUUUAAAGACGUCAUAUUUUUUAUUGUCGUGAAAAUUAUAUUUAACGUCGGCGUAUUUUUAUUGUCGUCGUUGUAUGUCUAUCUUGCGGCCUUGUUCUCUUAAUAUGUGUCAUAUUUUCCCUUUUUAACGACGGUCUUUUUAGAGAAUUGGUCGUCUAUUAUCAUCAUCGAUUGCUUUUUUUAGAUCUUUUUGCAGUACAAAGACGUCGUUUUGUAUUUUUUGAUGACGUUGUAUUGUUUAACAACGACGGUUAUUUAGCGUCGUGGUUUAUGAGGGAAAAGAUGACGGUGGAUUCCACGACCAUUGAAAAACCAAAUACACGACGGUGAUUUACCGUCGUCUUUUUGCUUUUUUGUAGUAGUGAUCGGAAACUUGACUAAUUAGAAUACAACAUAUGUCGAAAUAUUUUUAUCAUAAAUGGUCUCUAAGGUUCGUGAAAUUAUUAGCUUUAGUCCUUCAUGUUUUUUUGUGACAUCAUUGGUCCUUUAUGUUACUCCUCUUCACACAUCAAUUUGGUUCUGCCGUUUGGAUUCGUCAAAAUUUAUGUUAAAUUGAUGGCAUGACAUGUAUAUGGUGCCUACAUAUCCAAUGAGAUAAUGACCCGUGGAUCUAAGUAAAAAAUUUGUUUUAAAAAAAUAGUUUCAUAUUUAAAAUUUUUAAAGGGCGAAGACUCAUUGGGUAACUCGAAGUUUGGGUUGUUGAAGCCUUCAAGCAUGGUUUUGCUCACAAAAGAUUGGAACGCAAUGUGUUGGGUUGAGCACUGAAAACCAAAGAAUAUCAAAAAUGUAGUAGGGGGGAGAGAGAGAGAGAGANNNNNNNNNNNNNNNNNNNNNNNNNNNNNNNNNNNNNNNNNNNNNNNNNNNNNNNNNNNNNNNNNNNNNNNNNNNNNNNNNNNNNNNNNNNNNNNNNNNNACCUCAUGUCAGCACUUAAUAGAAAAUUUGACGGACCCUAACGGCAUGGAUCAAAUUGAUGUGUGGUGUGUAACAAAAAGGAUCAAUAAUGUCACAAAAAACAUAAAGGACCAAAGUUGAUAAUUUUGCGAACCUUAUACACCAUUUAUGAUAAAAACCCUAUAUUGUAUAAUUUUAGUGUGUUUUUUUCUUAAAUGCUAUUGAGAAGAGAUUUUAUAAAACUGCUAUAUAAAAGGUUCACCACAAUGCUAUAAAACAAUAGUAGAUUAUGGCUCUCAGAUGUUUUCAUCUUCUUAUUCAUCCAAGCAGAUCGAUAACAUAUGGUCACUACUGACUUUUUCUUGUAGUUCUCAACAUCCAUCUUUCAAGCCAUCAACCAAGUUGUUGCAUUGCUCCUCACUGUUAGAAAAGCCUCGUUUCCCUCCUCCUCCUCCAUUGAUUGAAGGAGAGACAACAAAAGCAACUUAUGAAACAAGCCCCUCAUUUCCUUGUUAAACAUAAAUCGACCCAUUAUUGAUGAGGACUGAGAAUCUAAGAGCACACUAGUAAUUAACCUGAGUGGGGAAUAUGGAUGAUGGAUCUCUCUCUCUCUCUCUCUCUCUUGAAAAAAUCAACUUCAUUAUCCUUGGUGAAUUUGUUCUGAAUUAGUCGUGUCCAGCUACAAGCAAUACUGUACGUAGUAUAUUAUUCUCUGCAUUUGUGCAUGCCAACAACAAACAAAUAUUAUUCUCUAUUAUAGCAUAUAGGCCGUCAUUUUCAAUCCUUAUAAGAGAAAACUUGCUUCGCCAUAAGAGUACGUAGCUUGGCAAGCAAGGUAAGGGUACUUCAAAAGAUUCCUUCCAUCAUCUAUAUAAGACACAUGUGACAUUGCAUGUCUCAUCAAUCAUGUUAAGAUAAAGCUAGCUGGCAAGGCAAAUUACCAACCUUUAUGCUCGAGUAUAUUAUUCCAAGCAGAUAUAAAUGUUAAUAUAUGUGAAGAAUAUUAUGAUCAAUAUAGAAUAUGUAUCAUGAUCAGUUAUGGUAUCGACUGUCAGAAAAUAUCAUCCGCAUAUGUGCAUACCAACAUUAUCGAAAGACAGUAGGAGUAUCGUCAUAUCCGAUACAAGUAUCGGAGCAUGGGUAAGAGUAUAUAUACAAGCAUACCCGUCCAAUUAGGAGAAUCAGUGCAACAUAGAUGAAAAGAAAUUAGAUGUGAUUUCACAUAUUUUUAAAGAAUAGGGGAAAUAAACCAAUUAAUCUCUUUUGUCUUCUCCAUACAUUUUUGGUUGUGAAUUUUGGUUUUCGAAGAAUUUGGCAUUUCAAGCAACUUGGAAAACAUUUUGAUGAUCCAUUGAACCUUGUUAAAGUCGAUAUUCAAUCUCUAUGGACUUUGGCCGAAAUGUCUCAUUUCAAUUGGAAAGUGACAUUGAGAUUUGAAAAGACUAGACAUUAAGGUGGCAAGAGAAGUCUAAAAGGAUCAAACAGAAAAAAAUAAUGAAAAAUUGAAAAUAACCUAGAAAGGGGAGAAAAAAUUAGUUGCAAUAGGGAUAAUAAUGUUUGAGUAAUGCUAAACGAACUCUAAAAUUAACUUAGUACACCCUACUAUCAAACUAUUUAUUGAAUUACUAAUUUACCCUAAUAUAAAAUGACCAAAAAGGAUAUAUUGAAUUGUGCAGCAAAUGUAAUUUUAAUAAGUACACAUUACUCACCAUAUUCAACCCUAAUAUUCGAUGGAGGCGACAUUGAAUGCUAUGAAUCCAACCCAAACCCACCACCACCGUCCCUCUCUCUCUCUCUCUCUCUCUCUCUCUCUCUCUCUCUCUCUCUCUCACAAAUUAUCUUAUUUGCUCUAAAUUUUUUGCAAUGAGUCAGAAUCUUCUAUGUGUAUGUGGCAUUCGUUCAUUAGACUUGGUUAAUGCAUUCAACCCACCCAAAACAAUAAUCAUUUGAUGUUCAUCCUCGAUGUUGGUGGUUUCAAGUGAGCAUGUUCCCAAACGGCUCUUACACUUGCCCACUAGAACUCCAGCUCCUCACCCUCUGAUGAAUCUAAUGACAAUUAUGUUGUUGUUUGCACCAUAAACACCAACUUCCAACAACUCCAAUACAACCUAUUUCUUCUUAAUUAGAUACCUUGGGGGUUGAUAGCAACCUCAAUAGUCUAAGAAACAAACCCACUUCGGAAUUUUCCUUCUUCCACUAGUUGAAGGGAGAUGGGUUCCAACACGAUAUUACGCGCUUAUUAGAAUCUUAUACUCGUCGAGUCUGGGUUGGCUGGUGAUAAGCAGGGGAAGGGUGGAGUUGGGUUGUGUUAGAGAGAGAGAGAGAGAGAGAGAGAGAGAGAGAGAGAGAGAGAAAGAGAAAGAGAGAGAGAAGGGCGGUAGUGGUUGGGUUGGGUUGGAUGCGAAAGGGCUUAAAUCAGAGGAGGAAGGACGGGUUUGGCUGGGUGGGUGACAGGACCCGACCCAAUUUCCGCUUUGGAAUCCGAGCUGAAUCCUGUGCGUGUCCGACACCUGGCGAAUGUCGGGCACGAAUGACCUUUUUACCCUUCUCUUUUCAAAUUCUUUUUUUUUUUAAACUUCCCUUAGACUUCUACCGAAAAUUCGACAGAGUCUCCCCUGUAUUUUGACCAAACCCAAAGUCUUCCACCUGUCAAACAGUCUCAAAUAACACACCAACUACCAGACUAACUCAACCAACAGAUCUCAACUCCAGUUUCUCAUGUUCAACAAGAUAUCAAAGCAUUUCUAUACAAAUUUACAGAACUAUGAGAAAGUUACAACGAGAUCCUACACUUUGGGGGUGGGGCGAAAGCUGGGAAGAUGGCCCGAGUGGUUUCCUUCGUACUUCUAUGGCCUGGGGGCGAAAAACAAGGUUAAAAUUGUGAGUGGACAAAAAUAAAAUUCUUUAAAACAAAAACAAGUUAGAACAUAAUAACCCCCGUUUUGAAAUACUAGGGAUAUAAAUCGUUAAUUUAGCUAUAUUUCAAUAUAAGGAAUUCAAUAAACAUGAAUAAAUAUACUGACGAAUAAACUUGCAUAACUGAUCAAAUAUAUAUAAAGAUAAUAACGCAUGAAUAUCAAGAAACUGGUAUAAAAUCACGGGAAAUCAUAACUGGAUAAAAGAGCUCAAAAUCCUUUGAAACUACCACCUAGAUGUACCCCUGUCAUAUCCGUCAAUUCCCCUGGCAGGUCUCGGGCGUCACGCAGUCUACCCGAGCCGCAAACUGGCGAAAUCAAGGGACUAUGAUCAGCCUGAUCCGCCGGCAGGUCUCGAUGACACCAAGUCGACUCGAGCCGCUCUGGCAGGAUGCAGGGGACCGCAGUCAGCCUGAUCCGCAAUCCUGGCAGGUCUCGGGGACACAGAGUCAGCCGAGCCGCAAAUCCUGGCAGGUCUCGGGACACCAAGUCUGCCGAGCCGCAAAUUCUGGCACUCACGGUCCGAGCGUCCCCGAAACUCGUGAGGCAAAGUCAAGUGCACUGACGUAACUGAAAUCAGACUGGAUGUUCGUAGACAUCGGUCCGACUGUGGGUAAUCACCAUAAAUAGAUGGGUACAUGGUGGUUUAACAAGAAAUUCUGAUAACUCUCUGAAAUCUGAUAAGUCUGAACUAAAUUACUAUCUUUGUAUCAAAAGUCUCAAGUUUACUGCUCAACCAAUAUUAUAAAAAUAAAGAUAUUUCACAAUGCAAAUCAUGCUUCGAAAUUACGUAAUAACACUUAUUCAAGAUCAAAUAGAAAAUAUAAUUAUAAAAUCUUUUAGGAAAGAAAAGUCCACUCACUGUUGGUCCGAGCUAUCUGGACCCUUCGAAGAUCCCUCAUGUGGGUCAACUGGACCUCUGGUGCCUUACUCGAUUGAUUUGGUGGAGAAUUGAAGGAGAACGAAGGAGAUGAAGUUUGGAUGAAAAACAGGCGGAAAUCGCCAGUUUCCGGCCAAUUCCCGGCGGUCCAAGGCCGGCGACGGGUCGAGGAAGGGAGGCGGCGGCGAGGCGGACCGAUUGACACCAACGGCGGAGGUCGCCGUGCCCUGUAGCGACGGCACGCUCGAUCUGAAACAGGGAGGGGGGCGGCGGUUGCGACGGGAGAGAGAGAGAGAGAGGAGAGAGAAAUGAGGAGAGAGAAGAGAGAAGGAAGAGAUAAAAUCUGACUUUUUUUUCAAAUUACCGUUUUGCCCUUCGAGGUAAUUUAAUCGUAUCUUCUUCAUUACAAUUCCAAUUCGGGUCUACUCCGUGUCUACGGACUCGUUUCGCCGUGCUCUACGCAACGGCGCAAGCGAAAUUCUCAAAUUCUUUCUUGAUCAAAAAGUCAAAUUUUCCCCUAUUAAAAUAUGCGAGGGCAAAAUCGUCUUUUGGGUAGAAUAAAGAAAUCCUAAUUUUUAGAUAUUUUAGUUUGGGUUAUUACAGUGGGGGGUGGAGAGAUGAUGGGAGGUCGAUUUAACAGGGUUAAGUGUUGUUAAGUGGUUUACCACAUGUCAAAAAAAUAGAAGGAAAACAUGUCGGGCACAUGGCAUUUGGUAACAGUAAAAUUGGACUCAUGAAUGAGUUAGGUGUUGUGUGAUAGAGUGUAUUAGGGUGUACCAUGGGUAUUUUUAGUAGUUAAAUAGGAUGUACUGAGUUAAUUUUAUAAUUUGAUUUAAAUAUUAGGGUAUACUUAGAUCAUAGGGUGUACUCAGUUAAUUUUAAGGUUUGUUUAGCAACAUUCUAAUGUUUUGUUAUCCCCGGUCAAUAAUUUUAUAUCGUGUGGCUUAGAAGGAGGCCUGUUAUCCAACUCAUCUGGUCCACCGUCCAUGAUAUGAACCCGACUUGAGAAUCUUUUGGUGAAGUAGAACAACCCAACUUGAGAGUUGAGGCAGCCAAACUAGAAGGGAAGCAUCCCCACUCCAGUCCCGCUCCCCAUGUGCCCAAUACUUUGCUUGUUUACUUCACCUUUUAAACCUUUUAGGAUUUUCCAUAGGCUAAGAGGAAAACAACAACAUUACGGCCCAGUUUACGAAUGGAUUCGAGGGGAAAUUACUUCCCAUGCCAUUUUUUAAGGGAUGGAAAAUGGAGAUUCAUUUCCCAUAUUUGAUAAUCCUAGGAAAGUAACUAAGAAAUACUACUUUAUUUCCUUUCACAUAUUUGGUUUGUGUAGGAAUGUAAAACAAAGUUAGUUUAAUUUUUCAAUUAUAUCCAUAUGAAAUUAAAUUUUAAAAAAAAUGUAUUUAAUGCUAUAUUGUUAAUGGGGACAAUAUGGUCAUGAAAAAUGUGUAUUUAAUGUUGGCUAAUUUUCUCAAACUUUCUCAUGUGCAAGACAACGAUUUCUCAUGCCUAGACUUACCAAAUAUGGGAAAGCAAUUGAUUUCUCAUCACCAAGCCUCCUUUCCCAUGAACCAAACAGGACCUACAAGUUAUUAGCUUCAAGCCUUCAAGGAUUUUCAUAACAAAUCUUCCAAUCUCACACAAAAAUAAAAAAGCAUCCAUGUAUGUAAUUUCUAGAUUAAAAUCUCACUUUUUAGGCAUUCCAUUUUCUUAGGAUUAGGUAUUACUACGCACGGACAAUCUUACGAUUAUCUGCAAUUCAUCCUUCAAUAGCUAUGGACGUUAUAUCAAAUCAACAAUAAGACGUACAUUUCUUCAAAGAACUAAAUCAUGCGGAUGUCAACUUGCUCUCACUUAUAUGUUUGUCUCUCCAUAUGAGGAAGGGUGUUUAGCUUAAGGUUUUAGGGCGCGGUUGUCUAAGAACAAUAAGGUGAACAUGUUUUGUCAAAGUACAUGGGAGACCUUUAUCUUCAAACACAAAAAAUGGCCAAAAUUAAAUUAGCAAGGAUCGACAUAUGGAUGUGAGCUUUUACACAUUGCCACUAAUUCUCUCCAUACUUUUGUUGAAAUCAUUUACAAAAUAAGAAAACUUUAGUAAUUGAAGCGAAAGAGAAGAAUUACCAGAACAGAAAAUAAGAAAAAAGAAGCACCUAACCCAAACUUUAAGUCACGAAUUUAACAGUUUACUUUUUAAAAAAAGUAAGUUACAAAACAAUCCCCUUAUUGAUGAGGAUUGAGAAUUUAAGAGCACUAAUAACUUGAGUGAGGAAUAUUGCACAUGGACGAUGGAUCUCUCUCUCUCUCUUUGAAAAAAAAGAAAAAAGAAACAAAAAUCAACUUCAUUAUCCUUAGUGAAUUUGUUCUGGAUUAGUUGUGUUGCAAUGGAACAUCGAACCUACCUAGCUAAAAGGAAAAAAGAAAGGCCACUACGACAGUACUGCAGUAUAUUAUUCCAAGAAGACAAAUGUAAACUAUAUACGUGAAGAAUAUCUAUUAUUGGUCGUCAUUUUCAAUCCUCAUAAAAGAAAACUUACUUCGCCAUAAUUUCAGGUUGUUCUCAAGGCAGGAAGGUAAGGACACUUGAAAAGAUUCCUUCUCAUCAUCUAUACAAGGAAAUGUGUUCUCAUCAAGCUAGGGGACAAGGCAAAUUAGCAACCUUUAUACUCGAUAUAUUAUUCCAAGCAGAUAUACAUGUGAAGAAUAUUAUGAUCUUGAUCAAUAUGGAAUCAGUGGGUGUAUCGAUCGACCAUCCAAAGAAAAAGGAUAUCCUCUGCAUAUAUGUGUGCAUGCCAACAACUAUAAAAGGAGACCAUGAGGCAAUGAGUUGAUCAUCAAAGCAAACACACAGAUAUCCCAACUAAAAAUCAUUCAGUGAGACAAUGGCUGGAACCAAUGAUAUUAAAAUUAAAGGGUUCGAUUUGAGCAAAAACAGCGGCAACACGUCCGGAUUAACCCACUUCGCCAACAGAGCUGACGAGGGCGACAAGGGCGACAAUAAAAUCGAGGUUGAGGAUGCUAAAGCGCAAGAUAACAAGGGAAACUUGAAAGUACUGACCGACUUCGCCCAACGUGGUAAGGUGGGCCAGUCGGAUCGCCAAGAAAUCACGGGGAGCAAGCCACUUCAGACGGCAGCAUGAAAUUGAUGAAGGCCAUACCAUAAUAAAAUAUCUACACUAAAAUAAGAGCUGAUGCAGUAUCUGAGGCUCCUUCCUUGGUUAGGCCUCAUUAUCAUGUGCAAUACUAAUAUUAUUAUUCUAAUAAAAUAAUGGUAGCUUAUUAUUAAAUAUAUCAAAAUUCUAUACGUAUAACUUUUAGAUUAUUGAUACUGAUGACAUACCAACAAGAGAAAACGAUUCAAAAGUCCUUUCUCCAAUUCGUGAUGUUACAAAAUGAGACGUCAAAUUUAAAAAUAUAGUUGCAUACGAGUAUAAACUGAACCAAUAAGCAAUGUAUGAGUGACCAAAGGUCUCAAACGAUGCAUUUAAGAAGAAGGGUACUAAAUUAAAAGAUGUACGCCAGUGAACUAUGGCAAUCUCUCGUUGCAUGCACGCAUAUGCAAUUGAAGAAGACCUAACUUAUAUCACGAAGAAGUGGAUGGGUCUUUACAUAUGAAGUUUUUAAAAUUAACACUACCGGAAGACAAUAGGAGUAUCGGCGUAUCUGAUACAAGUAUCGGAGUCUCGGAGUAUUAGAUUUGAGCAUACCUGUCCAAAUAGGAGUAUCGGUGCAACAUAGAUGAAAAGGAAUUGGAUGUGAUUUCACAUAUUUUUAAAGAACAGGGGAAAUAAACCAAUUAAUCUCUUUCGUCUUGUCCACACAUUUCUUGUUGCAAAUUUUGGUUUUCAAAAAAUUUGGCAUUUCAAGCAACUUGGAAAACAUUUUGAUGAUCCAUUAUUGAACCUCUAAAGUCGAUAUUCAAUCCCUAUCGACCUUGCUCAAAAAAUGUCUCAUUUCAAUUAGUGCAGAGAAAAAUAAAGGCAGAGUUGAAAAUAGAUUUUUCAGUUUGGAAAGUGACAUUGAGAUGUAAAAAGACUAGACAUUAAGGUGGCAAGAGAGAUCUAACAGGAUCAGACAAAAAAGGAAAAAAAAAUGAAUGAAAAAUAGAAAAUGCCCUAGAAAGGGGAGAACAACUUAGUUGCAAUGGGGAUAACAAUAUCUUGCUAUUACUGGUCAAUAAUUUUAUACCACGUGGCCUAGAAGGAGGCCUGUUAGUCCAACUCAUCUGGUCCACUUCCCAUUAUAUGAACCCGACUUGAGAGUUUUGGUUUUUUGGUUGAAGUAGAACAACCCGACUUGAGAAUUGAGGCAGCCAAACUAGAAGGGAAGCAGCCCACUCCACUCCCGCUCCCCAUGUGCCCAGUACUUCGCUUGUUUACUUCACCUUUUAAACCUUUUAGGAUUUUUUUUAUAGGAUAAGAGGAAAACGACGACAUUACAAGUUAUUACGCAUCAACGUAUGUAAUUUCUAGAUUAAAAUCUCACUUUUUACGCAUGUCAUUAUCUUAGGAUUAUGUAUUACUACGCACUGACAAUCUUACGAUUAUCUGCAAUUCAUCCUUCAAUGACCAAAGACGUUAUAUCAAAUCAACAAUAAGACAUACAUUUCUCCAAAUAACUAAAUUAUGUGGAUUUCAACUUGCUCUCAUUUAUAUGUUUGUCUCUCUCCUCCUAUUGAUUAGCCUCUCCAUAAGAGCAAAUAUGAAAAAAGAAGCUCCCAAUCCGAACUUUAAGUCACAAGUUUAACAGUUUACUUUUAAACAAAAGCAAGUUACGAAACAAUCCCCUGAUUUCCUUGUUAAACAUCAACCGACCCAUUAUUGAUGAGGAUUGAGAAUCUAAGAGCAUAUGGACGAUGGAUCUCUCUCUCUUUUUGAAAACAAAAACAAAAACAAAAAACAAAAAUCAACUUCAUUAUCCUUGGUGAAUUUGUUCUGGAUUAGUUGUUUUGAAUUAGUACAGCUUACGUACGCAAUGGAACAUCGAACUUAGCUAGCUAAAAGGAAAAAAGAAAGGCCACUACUACAGUACCGCAGUAUAUUAUUCCAAGAAGACAAAUGUAAACUAUAUACGUGAAGAAUCUCUAGUAUUGGUCGUCAUUUUCAAUCCUUAUAAAAGAAAGCUUGCUUCGCCAUAAUUUCAGGUUGUUCUCAAGGCAGGCAGAGAGAGUACGUAGCUUGGCAAGAAAGGUAAGGGCACUUCAAAAGAUUGUUUCUCAUCAUCUAUAUGAGGAAAUGUGUUGCCAUCAAGCUAGCGGACAAGGCAAAUUAGCAACCUUUAUACUCGAUAUAUUAUUCCAAGCAGAUAUACAUGUAAAUAUAUGUGAAGAAUAUUAUGAUCAUGAUCAAUAUAGAAUCUGUAUCAUGAUCAGAGGGUAUCGAUCCAGCAUCCAAAGAAAAAGGAUAUACUCUGCAUAUGUGCAUGCCAACAACUAUAAAAGGAGACCAUGAGGCAAUGAGUCGAUCAUCAACGGAAACACACAGAUAUCCCAACUAAAAAUCCAUCGUGAGACAAUGGCUGGAACCAAUGAUAUUAAAAUUAAGGGGUUUGAUUUGAGCAACAACAAAGGCAACACGUCGGGAUUAACCCACUUCGCCAACAGAGCUGACGGGGGCGACAAUGGCAACAAUAAAAUCGAGGUUGAGGAUGCUAAAGGGCAAGGGAACACGGGAAACUUGAAAGUACUGACCGACUUCGCCCAACGCGGUAAAGUGGGCCAGUCGGAUCGCCAAGAACUACUCAAACCUCAGGCAUGAAAUUGAAGAAGGCCAGACCACAACAACUUGUCUGCUUGAUAGAUAUAUGUGCUAAAUUAUCUACACAAAAAUAAGAGCUGAUGUUUUAUCUGAGGCUCCUUCCUUGGUUAGGCCUCGUUAUCAUGUGUAAUAUUAAUAUUAUUAUUCUAAUAAAAUAAUGGUAGCUUAUUAUUAAAUAUAUCAAAAUUCUAUACGUAUAACUUUUAGAUUAUUGAUACUGAUGUCAACAAGAGAAAAUGAUUAAAAAGUCCUUUCUCCAAUUCGUGAUGUUACAAAAUGAGACUUCAAAUUUUAAAACUAUAGUUGCAUACGAGUACAAAACUGAACCAAACAAUGUAUGGGCCAGAGUGACCAAGGAUGUACGCCAGUGAACUAAUGGCAAUCUCUCGUUGCAUGCACGCAUAUGCAAUUGAAGGAGGCAUUAUCUGAGGCUCCUUCCUUGGCUAGGCCUCAUUUUCAAUUUUGAUUUCAACUUUGAUUUUGCUUAAACUUUGAUUUUGAGCUAGACUGUGAUUUCGACUUUGAUCUCCCAAUUCGUGCCUUAAGAAUCAGUUUCUCCCAACUCUAUUUACCAAAACCGAAAACUCUGAACUUUUCAAUUCGUCUGGCUACUCUCAGGGUUUCAUGCCUUAGUUUCCUCUCGCCAAAAAGCCAAAAAGACUUGGCUUUCAUGUAAUGCUAUACUCCUCGAUUGAACAAGCCGCGUCUUCAAAUUCAGCUUUCUCACUUCCUUUCUCUUUACUUUCUUUCUUUUGUUUUCCGGCUGGGAAAAUCAUGGAAGCAUUACAAAUUUAAGAGAAUAUUCUAGUAUUAGGGUCCAAACUGUACUAUUUAGGUAUUUUCAUUCUGAUUAAGAGUUCUUUUCUAGAAAUUUGGGGAAGAAAAAAUAGAGUUUCUGUUUUAGUGUUUGAUUUUCAUUACAGUGAAUUAUGUGAAACCGAAAUGUUUCUUGUCUGAUUUCAUCACUGCUUUCAAAUUGCAAAUUAAGGAUUUGAAGGUUAACAAUGCCCGUCUUUAACAAUGUCGCAUUUCAAUUAGUACAAAAGAAAAAUAAAGGCAUAGUUGAAAAUAGAUUUUUCAGUUUCGAAAGUGACAUUGAGAUUUAAAAAGACUAGACAUUAAGAUGGCAAGAGAGAUCUAAAAGGAUCAAACAAAAAAAGUGAAUGAAAAAUUGAAAAUGCCCUAGAAAGGGAGGAAAUCUUAGUUGCAAUGGGGAUAACAAUGUUUUGCUAUCCUCGAACAAUAAUUUUACACCACGUGACCUAGAAGGAGGCAUGUUAAUCUAACUCAUCUGGUCCACCGUCCAUGAUAUGAACCCGACUUGUGAGUUUUUUUUUUUUUUUGUUGAAGUAGAACAACCAAACUUGAGAGUUGAUGUCACAUCUCAGGAUCGGCUUCACCGUAGCACGAUAUUGUCUGCUUUGGGCCCCCUCGCUGUCCUCGCGGUUUUGUUUCUAGGAGCUCACGAGCAACUUCUCAGUUGGUCACUCAUCUUAGGAUUGCUCUGGCCCAAACUCACUUAACUUCGGAGUUCUCAUGACUCCGAAGCUAGUGAGCUCCUAAAAGGCCUCGUACUAAAUGGAAGUGGGCAUAUAUAUAUAAGGCACAACACCCCAUCUUCGUUGGUUGAUGUGGAAUGUUACAAUCCACCCCCCUUAGAGGUCUGACUUCCUCGUCGGCACACUCUCACCACACGGCAGAGUGGCUCUGAUACCAAACUGUCACAUCCCGGGAACGGCUCCGUCGUAGCACGAUAUUGUCCGCAUUGGGCCAACCUUUCUGCCCUCACGGUUUUGUUACUGGGAGCUCACGAGCAACUUCCCAGUGAAUCACUCAUCCUGGGAUUGCUCUAGCCCAAACUCGCUUCACUUCGGAGUUCCUAUGACUCCGAAGCCAAUUAGCUCCCAAAAGACCUCGUGCUAGAUAAAGGUGGGCACGUACAUAUAAGGCACAUCACCUUCUCUUCGUUGAUCGAUGUGGGAUGUUACAGUUGAGGGCUCCGUUGGUCGAUGUAGGAUGUUACAGUUGAGGCAGCCAAACUAGAAGGGAAGCAACCCAACUCCACUCCCUCUCCCCAUGUGCCCAGUUCUCUGCUCGUUUACUUCACCUUUUAAACAUUUUAGGAUUUUCCAUAAGCAAAGAGGAGAACGACCACAUUACGGUCUCGUUUGGUUCACGAACAGAUUUAAGGGGAAAUAACUUCUCAUGUCAUUUCUCAAGGGAUGAGAAAUGGAGAUUCAUUUCCCAUAUUUGGUAAUCCUAGGAAAAUAACAAAGAAAUACCACUUUAUUUCCUUUCACAUGUUUGGUUUGUCUAGGAAUGUAAAACAAAGUUUGUUUAAUUUUCCAAUUAUACCGAUAUGAAAUCAAAUAAAAAAAGAAUAUUUAAUGUUAUAUUGUAAUUCUAAACUGUUAAUAGGGACAAUAUGAUCAUGAAAAAUGUGUAUUUAAUGUUGGCUCAUUUGCUUAUUUUCCCAAACUUUCACAUGAGGAGGAAAACAAAACCCAAGGGGGGAGGAUGGCUUCACUUUCCCCUCUACUUUCCCAUGUACAAGGCAACGAUUUCUCAAGUCUGGACUUACCAUACAUGGGAAAGAAAUUAAUUUCUCAUCCCCAAGUCAUUUUUCCCAUAAACCAAACGGAGCCUACAGGUUAUAAGCUUCAACCUUUAAGGAUUUUCAUAACAAAUCUUGCAAUCUCAUACCAAGGAAAUAAAAAUAAAAAAAAGGAUCCAUGCGUGUAAUUUCUAGAUUAAAAUCUCACUUUUUACGCAUGCCAUUAUCUAAGGAUUAGGUAUGACUACACACGAACAAUCUUACAAUUAUCUGCAAUUCGUCCUUCAAUGGCCAAAGACGUUAUAUCAAAUGAACAAUAAGACGUACAUUUCUUCAAAGAACUAAAUUAUGUGGAUUUCAACUUGCUCUCACUUAUAUGUUUCUCUCUCUCCUCCUAUUGUUUAGCUUAAGGUUUUAGGGCGUGGUUGUCUAAGAACAAUAAGGUAAACAUGCUUACAAAAAAAGAUGGACAGCAAGGAUGGACAUAUGCGAAUGUGAGCUUUUACACAUUGCCACUAAUUUUCUCCAUGAUUUUGUUGAAAUCAUUAACAAAAUAAGAAACUUUAGUAAUUGAAGCGAAAGAGACUAAUUAUCAGAAGAGAAAAUAUGAAAAAAGAAGCUCCCAAUCCAAACUUUAAGUCACAAGUUUAACAGUUUACUUUAAAACAAAAGCAAGUUACGAAACAAUCCCCUGAUUUCCUUGUUAAACAUCAACCGACCCAUUAUUGAUGAGGAUUGAGAAUCUAAGAGCAUAUGGACGAUGGAUCUCUCUCUCUUUUUGAAAACAAAAACAAAAACAAAAAUCAACUUCAUUAUCCUUAGUGAAUUUGUUCGGGAUUAGUUGUGUUGAAUUAGUACAGCUUACUUACGCAAUCGAAUAUCAAACCUAGCUAGCUAAAAAGAGAAAAAGAAAGGCCACAACGACAGUACUGUAGUAUACGUGAAGAAUCUUAUGAUCUAUAAUAUUCUGUAUUAUUGGCCAUCAUUUUCAAUCCUUAUUAAAGAAAACUUGCUUCGCCAUAAUUUCAAGUUGUUCUGAAGGCAGGCAUAGAGAGCACGUAGCUUGGCAAGGGAGGUAAGGGCACUUCGAAAGAUUCCUUCUCAUCAUCUAUACAAGGAAAUGUGUUCUCAUCAAGCUACGGGACAAGGCAAAUUAGCAACCUUUAUACUCAGAUAUAUUAUUCCAAGCAGAUAAACAUGUAAAUAUAUGUGAAGAAUAUUAUGAUAAUGAUCAAUAUAGAAUCUGUAACAUUAUCAGAGGGGUAUCGAUCGACCAUCCAAAGAAAAGGAUAUCCUCUGCAUAUGUGCAUGCCAACAACUAUAAAAGGAGACCAUGAGGCAAUGAAUCAUCAAAGCAAAGACACAGAUAUCCCAACUAAAAAUCAAUCAGUGAGACAAUGGCUGGAACUGGAACCAAUGAUAUUAAAAUUAAAGGGUUCGAUUUGAGCAACAACAGCGGCAACACGUCGGGAUUAACCCACUUCGCCAACAGAGCUGAUGGGGGCGACAAGGGCGACAAUAAAAUCGAGGUUGAGGGUGCUAAAGCGCAAGAUAACAAGGGAAACUUGAAAGUACUUACCGAUUUCGCCCAACGCGGUGAAGUGGGCAGGUCGGAUCGCCAAGAACUUCUCAAGCCUCAGGCAUGAAAUUGAAGAAGGCCAUACCAUAUAUGUGCUGAAUUAUCUACACAAAAAUAAGAGCUGAUGUUUUAUCUGAGGCUCCUUCCUUGGUUAGGCCUCGUUAUCAUGUGUAAUAUUAAUAUUAUUAUUCUAAUAAAAUAAUGGCAGCUUAUUAUUAAAUAUAUCAAAAUUCUAUACGUAUAACUUUUAGAUUCUUGAGUGGGAAACCCUAGCUGCAUUCUGGUCCCUUUUCUUCUUGCCGACAACCAACCACAAGGAAACUAAAGGGGGAGGUGGCCACUGCCCCUCCCCCCCUUCGCCCAUCUUCCCUUUCUCUCCUCAUCUUCCCUUCUUUUUCUCCCAUCUUUUCCCUUCCUCUUAUGCCCUCUUCUCUUCCCAUUCCCUUUCCCAUAUAGUCUAGAUCUAUUUGGAUCUAGGUUUUGUUUGUUUGUUUGUUUGGUUUGGUUUGGUUGUUUUUGCAGUAUUCUAGGUGACUGGUAGUGACGUUGGAUUGUGUCUAUUAUCGGGAGAGUUGUGAUACCUAGUGGCUGAUGUUUUGUCUCUGUUUCAACGACGGCGGCAGUAGCGACACUAGUGAUAGUUAUUGGAUGUGGUGCUCUUCUUUAUUCUGCACUUACCGAAGAACUAUGCUUGGUCAUAGGAGGUUUUCUUUGUCAGAUUCUGAGUUGAAGUGGAGUGCUUCUUAGGGGUCCUUUUAUUGUUGCUUCUAUGUUCCUCCUCUGUGUUCUCUCCUGUUUUCUGUUAUGGUAUGCCUUGUAGUUUGUAUGGGUGUCAAAAUACUAUGAUUUUGCUCAUAGAAGGCUUCUUUUGACAGUUGGGAUAUUCUACGAUCCUCUUCUGUGGGUUUACUAUUUGGGGUUUCUGUCGUUCUCUCAUGUGGGUGUACUAUGUUGGUAUCUAGUUGAGGUUUUCGUCGGAGUUCUUUUUGUUAGUUUUCGUUUUUGAUUUGUUCUUUUAUUGUAAUGGUCCAAAGCGACCAGAAUUAAACUCUCUUGUUAGUCCAUGACAUGUGUGGUACUCUUUUCUCCCCGGGGUUUGUCCCUUGAGAUUGCCCUAGGAAGGUUUUAACGAGGCCACUAUAUCAUGUUGCUCAUUGUACGUCUUUGGUUCUAUUAAUUAAUUCUCUUUCUUAAAAAUAACAAAAAUAAAUAAAUAAAUAAAUAAAAAUUUAGAUUAUUGAUAACGAUGUCAACAAGAGAAAAUGAUUAAAAAGUCCUUUCUCCAAUUCGUGAUGUUACAAAAUGAGACUUCAAAUUGUAAAACUAUAGUUGGAUACGAGUAUAAAACUGAACCAGGCAAUGUAUGGGCCAGAGUGACCAAGGUUGUACGACAGUGAACUAAUGGCAAUUUCUCGUUGCAUGCACGCAUAUGCAAUUGAAGAAUGCCAUAAUAAUAUGUGUUUUUACUAAAUUAUCUACACUAAAAUAAAAACUGAGGCAUUAUCUGAGGCUCUUUCCUUGGCUAGGCCUCAUUUUCAAUUUUGAUUUCAACUUUGAUUUCGCUUAAACUUUGAUUUUGAGCUAGACUGUAAUUUCGACUUUGAUUCUGAUUCUCUCCCAAUUCAUGCCUUAAGAAUCAGUUUCUCCCAACUCUAUUUACCAAAACCAAAAACUCUAAACUUUUCAAUUCGUCUGGGUACUCUCAGAGUUUCAUGCCCUAGUUUCCUCUCGCCAAAAAGCCAAAAAGACUUGGCUUUCAUGUAAUGCUAUACUCCUCGAUUGAACAAGCUGCGUCUUCAAAUUCAACUUUCUCACUUCCCUUCUCUUUACUUUCUUUUCUUUUGUUUUCCAGCCCGGAAAAUCAUGGAAGCAUUACAAAUUUAAGAGAAUAUUCUAGUAUUAGGGUCCAAACUGUACUAUUUAGGUAUUUUCAUUCUGAUUAAGAGUUCUUUUCUAGAAAUUUGGUGAAGAAAAAAUAGAGUUUCUGUUUUAGUGUUUGAUUUUCAUUAUAGUGAGUUAUGUGAAAUCGAAAUGUUUCUUGUGUGAUUUCAUCACUGCUUUCAAAUUGCAAAUUAAGGAUUUGAAGGUUACAAAUUAUUAUGUAGAUAAUUUUUGGGAAUUUAAGAGGCAGUACAGUGUUUGUAUAAGUCUUGAGAUAGACCAAUUUACCACAUGCUCGAUUUCUAUAUAUAAAUUUUUUUAAAUCAUUCUUUUGUUUUAUUUAUUCUGUUAAUUUGUCAUAAUGUGUAAUAUGAUAGCUUCUAAUUCUUUCUUCCUAUUUCUUCUUUUUUGUUAUUCUCUCCCAAAUGAAAUGAAGACCUAACUUAUAUCAAGAAGAAGAGGAUGGAUCCUUACAUAUGAAGAUUUUAAAAUUAACAUUAUUGGAAGACAGUAGGAGUAUCGGCAAUUUGAUACAAGUAUCGGAGUAUCAAAUACGAGCAUGCCCGUCUUUAACAAUGUCUCAUUUCAAUUAGUACAAAAGAAAAAUAAAGGCAGAGUUCAAAAUAGAUUGUUCAGUUUCGAAAGUGACAUUGAGAUUUAAAAAGACUAGACAUUAAGAUGGCAAGAGAGAUCUAAAAGGAUCAAACAAAAAAAAUGAAUGAAAAAUUGAAAAUGCCCUAGAAAGGGAGGAAAUCUUAGUUGCAAUGGGGAUAACAGUAUUUUGCUAUCCUCGAUCAAUAAUUUUAUACCACGUGACCUAAGGAGGCAUGUCAAUCUAGCUCAUCUGGUCCACCGUCCAUGAUAUGAACUCGACUUGAGAGUUUUUUUUUUUUUUUUUUUUUUUUUUUGGGGUUGAAGUAGAACAACUAGACUUGAGAGUUGAUGUCACAUCUCAAGGUCGGUUCCACCGUAGCACGAUAUUGUCUGCUUUGGGCCCCCUCUUUGUCCUCGCGGUUUUGUUUUUAGGAGCUCACGAGCAACUUCCCAGUUGGUCACCCAUCUUGGGAUUGCUCUAGCCCAAACUCACUUAACUUCGGAGUUCUCAUGACUUCGAAAUCAGUGAGCUCCCAAAAGGCCUCGUGCUAAAAGGAGGUGGGCAUAUACAUAUAAGGCGCAACACCCCCUCUCCGUUAGUCGAUGUGGAAUGUUACAAUCCACCCCCUUUAGAGGUCCGACGUCCUCGUCGGCACAGUCUCACCACACGGCAGAGUGGCUCUAUGCCAAAUUGUCGCAUUCCGGGAUCGGCUCCGUCGUAACACGAUAUUGUCCGCGUUGGGUCAACCUCUCUGCCCUCACGAUUUUGUUUCUGGGAGCUUACGAGCAACUUCCCAGUAGAUCACUCAUCCAAACUCGCUUAACUUCGGAGUUCCCAUGACUCCGAAGCCAGUGAGCUCCCAAAAGACCUCGUGCUAAAUGGAGGUAGGCAUGUACAUAUAAGGCACAUCACCUCCGCUCCGUUGGUCGAUGUGGGAUGUUACAGUUGAGGGCUCCGUUGGUCGAUGUACGAUGUUACAGUUGAGGGCUCCGUUGGUCGAUGUAGGAUGUUAUAGUUGAGGCAGCCAAAAUAGAAGGGAAGCAACCCUACUCCACUCCCUCUCCCCAUGUGCCCAGUUCUCUACUCGUUUACUUCACCUUUUAAACCCCUUCGUACUUGAAGACCUGGCUGGCAAUUUGAUUGAAGCGAAAGAGACUAAUUAUCCAUGCUUUUGUUGAAAUCAUUAACAAAAUAAGAAACUUUAGUAAUUGAAGCGAAAGAGACUAAUUAUCAAAACAGAAAAUAUGAAAAAAGAAGCUCCCAAUCCGAACUUUAAGUCACAAGUUUAACAGUUUACUUUAAAACAAAAGCAAGUUACGAAACAAUCCCCUUAUUUACUUGUUAAACAUCAACCGACCCAUUAUUGAUGAGGAUUGAGAAUCUAAGAGCACAUGGACGAUGGAUCUCUCUCCCUUUUUGAAAACAAAAACAAAAACCAACUUCAUUAUCCUUAGUGAAUUUGUUCUGGAUUAGUUGUGUUGCAAUGGAACAUCGAACCUACCUAGCUAAAAGGAAAAAAGAAAGGCCACUACGACAGUACUGCAGUAUAUUAUUCCAAGAAGACAAAUGUAGACUAUAUACGUGAAGAAUAUCUAGUAUUGGUCGUCAUUUUCAAUCCUCAUAAAAGAAAACUUACUUCGCCAUAAUUUCAGGUUGUUCUCAAGGCAGGAAGGUAAGGACACUUGAAAAGAUUCCUUCUCAUCAUCUAUAUAAGGAAAUGUGUUCUCAUCAAGCUAGGGGACAAGGCAAAUUAGCAACCUUUAUACUCGAUAUAUUAUUCCAAGCAGAUAUACAUGUGAAGAAUAUUAUGAUCUUGAUCAAUAUGGAAUCUGUAUCAUGAUCAGUGGAUGUAUCGAUCGACCAUCCAAAGAAAAAGGAUAUCCUCUGCAUAUAUGUGUGCAUGCCAACAACUAUAAAAGGAGACCAUGAGGCAAUGAGUUGAUCAUCAAAGCAAACACACAGAAAUCCCAACUAAAAAUCAAUCAGUGAGACAAUGGCUGGAACUGGAACCAAUGAUAUUAAAAUUAAAGGGUUCGAUGUGAGCAACAACAGCGGCAACACGUCGGGAUUAACCCACUUCGCCAACAGAGCUGCCGAGGGCGACAAGGGCGACAAUAAAAUCGAGGUUGAGGAUGCUAAAGGGCAAGGGAACACGGGAAACUUGAAAGUACUGACCGACUUCGCCCAACGCGGUAAAGUGGGCCAGUCGGAUCGCCAAGAACUUGUCAAACCUCAGGCAUGAAAUUGAAGAAGGCCAUACCAUAACCACUUGUCUGCUUGAUAGAUAUAUGUGCUAAAUUAUCUACACAAAAAUAAGAGCUGAUGUUUUAUCUGAGGCUCCUUCCUUGGUUAGGCCUCGUUAUCAUGUGUAAUAUUAAUAUUAUUAUUCUAAUAAAAUAAUGGUAGCUUAUUAUUAAAUAUACCCAAAUACUAUACGUAUAACUUUUAGAUUAUUGAUACUGGUGUCAACAAGAGAAAAUGAUUAAAAAGUCCUUUCUCGCAUUCGUGAUGUUAGAA